rnacentral:lncRNA from 1 species
GCUUAAUGUGUCCUGUGAACUAUGGCCCCUUGUUUUAUUUAGAUACCACGGAUGCUAGGGUUACACAAAGUUGGUUACAUCAAGAAAGGAAUAUGUUGAUUACUAUGUCGCCUUGGAUUGUACGCAAGUCUUUGAAAGAGUCCAUCUCGAUUCUAGUACCACCAAUGAUGACCGAACAAUCUAGGUGUCUGGCCCACGAGAAUAGAUAAGGGGCCCAAGGACCCCUUAGCCCUGGACUCCCUCACUAGCCUCCAAUGCGAAAACCUUUAACCUCCGCCUGCUUCAUAUACAUAGAGUCUUUGGCUUGCGAGGUGAGUUCCCCUCUUCCUUUAAUCGAUGAUAGAUUAGGUGCCGAUGAUCUUCCUUCCUUCACACACACACACACACACACACACACA